GACGAACGCUGGCGGCGUGCUUAACACAUGCAAGUCGAACGGAAAGGCCCCUUUGGGGGUACUCGAGUGGCGAACGGGUGAGUAACACGUGAGUAACCUGCCCUUGACUUCGGGAUAACUUCAGGAAACUGGGGCUAAAACCGGAUAGCAAUCCUUACUUCAUGGGGGGGUUUGAAAGGUUUCGGCGGUUUUGGAUGGAAUCGCGGCUUAUCAGCUUGUUGUUGGGGUAGUGGCUUACCAAGGCUUUGACGGGUAGCCGGCCUGAGAGGGCGACCGGCCACAGUGGGACUGAGAUACGGCCCAGACUCCUACGGGAGGCAGCAGUGGGGAAUAUUGCACAAUGGGCGGAAGCCUGAUGCAGCAACGCCGCGGGCGGGAGGACGGCCUUCGGGUUGUAAACCGCUUUCAGCAGGGGCGAAGCUUGUGGUGACGGUACCUGCAGAAGAAGCACCGGCUAACUACGUG
rnacentral:rRNA from 1 species